GGGCAUGUAGUGUAGGGGUUAUCGCGCCUCAUUCGCAGACGAGUCCGGAAUUGAACCGGAUAUCAGUCACGUGACUUGAGGAGGUCCUGAGUUCAAUUCUCAGCUUGUCCA